rnacentral:rRNA from 1 species
UAUGGAGGAUGCAAGCGUUAUCCGGAAUGAUUGGGCGUAAAGCGUCCGCAGGUGGCUGUGUAAGUCUGCUGUUAAAGAGUCAUGCUCAACAUGAUAAGAGCAGUGGAAACUACACGGCUAGAGUGCGUUCGGGGCAGAGGGAAUUCCUGGUGUAGCGGUGAAAUGCGUAGAGAUCAGGAAGAACACCGGUGGCGAAAGCGCUCUGCUAGGCCGCAACUGACACUGAGGGACGAAAGCUAGGGGAGCGAAUGGG